ensembl:lncRNA
AUGAACUGUGGUGUAGAUUAUAGAUGUGGCUCAGAUCCCACGUUGCUGUGGCUCUGGUGGAAGCCAGUGGCUACAGAUCCGAUUAGACCCCCAGCCUGGGAACCUCCAUAUGCCAUGGGAGCGACCCUAGAAAAAGGCAAAAAGGAAAAGAGACAGAAGAAAAAAAAAUUAGCUAAGGAUGAAGACCAUGGAUCUGUAGAAGGAUGCUGUCCAGUUUUUCUUCUGCUUUGCCUGGAUGCCUGAGUAUAGGUUCAAACUCAGGACUUUAGAGAAAGCACAAUAGAGUGACCAAAUUGAAGUUAUUGAUAAGAAAAUGUUUGAAGAGUUUAUUUAGGCUGAAAAAGGAAGGGAAGUAAAGACAGAAAGGAACUGAUUGAUGAGAGAAAAUGGUGCAUGGGGAAGUGGGUCAAAGGACUCACUUUUUUUUUUUUUAAUGGAGUUGAAAAACAAGUUUAAAGGAAUUGACAGAGAGCAGGAAGUUUAAGUAGGUUGUGUGGUCAGGCUGUGGGAUAUUAGAGAUUAAGUUUUCAUCAGUGAAGCAAUUCUGUGGGUCAAGUUUCAGGGUGUGGUUAUAUAUGCAGGUGAUAGAAGUAGAGUAGAAUUGAAGGUUAUUGGAUUGAGAAGGCCUAGAAGUUGUGAGGAAAGGCAUUUAUGGGUCCUGCACAUAGAUUGCAAAACCACCACAGGUGAUGGUAAAGCUAGAGGUGGAGAGGAGAGUGUGAAUCAGCGGCUGUUUCAUGUUUGAGGAUGAAUGUGAGGGGGUUGGUUAAUGACAAUAAGAAAAAGGCAUUUAGGACUGUGUGUUAGAAGACACAAGCCUGCAAAGAUUGUUGGUUCAUCUCCAAGCCUCAUAUCAAAUGACGCUUGGGAGACCAAAAGCCAUCCCUAAUGAGAGCUGUAGAAGAGGAGAAUGUCCAGGGAGAGGUCCAGGUUUGAGUUCAGCAAAGAUGUGGUGAAAGAUUCCCUUUUGGAGGGUGAAAACACACUGGACUUUGACAAUGAGGAAAUGGGGUUCUAGAGGAGACAGCAGAAAAAUUGAGGAGUGAACAGGAGAUGUGUGUAUUUGGUGAUCCCUGAUCCAAAUAUUUAGUUUGGCUUUGGUCUAAAGGGUUAAGGGAAGGAUAGAUGAUUUUGGGACAGUGGUUGAAGGUGUCAGGGAUGUGAGUCAUGGUGUUGUUCAGGGACCUCAAGUUUCCAGAGGGAAUCGUGAUGGGAGGUUGCUUUGAUGUUGAAACUAAUGUUCCAAAUGAUACCAGAAACAAUUUAUGAACUUGCCUACUUAACACCUCUUUCAGCUUAGGGGAACUAUAAUAGUAUUCCAUGUCAAAUAUCCAUGUAUAAAGUAUUUUUACUUCCUGAUGACUGAGUUGUCUUUAGAGAUUGUUCCCACGCUUCCUACAAAAGCAAGGACAGUCCACAUGGCCCGUUAUAAGGCCUGUGUAGAAAGCAUUGAUCCAGGGAAAUGUGAGCAAUCAAAGGGCUCUCUCUGAACUCCUUUGGCAACUGCCUGUGGAAGCCCUGUGUCUCAUGGUUGUGCAUCUUUCUGUCCCAUUAUCCAUCUUUCUACCAAACUAUCUGCCAAAGUCACUCUUGGAUGAGAGGUCACGAUAUUGAGUAUAUGAGGGGUGGUUUUUAUUUCUUCCUUCCUUUGAGUUGAUCAUUAGAAACAUUUUCUUUCUUCACUGAUGAUACUUAUCUGAAUUGAGUUUAUUGUUUUCCAGAAGGGUGAAGAUUUCAAAUUAUAUACCUAUGAUUCUCAUCUCUUCUCAUGUAAGUGAAAAUAAGCAGAUGCAGUGGCAAUCCCAGGGUUGUUGAUUACCUGCCAGGAAGACCUCAGGUCAGUUGCUUUGCCUGCUUUUGCUUCAAUCUCCUCUUCAGUGAGACACAGUUAAUAACACAGGAUGUAUCCUCUAUAGUUGAUGUGAUCUCUAUAGUUGAUGUGCAUGAAAUUUUUGGUCCAGAGCCUGGUAUAUAGCAAGUAUUUAACAAAUGGUGUCUGUUGCUUUUAUCCAUAACAUCAUGCCAGAAUCAUACAGAGGUUUAACACAAGUAAACUCACUGCAUCUUCACAACAAGUUUGUGAAAUGACUAUUAAUGUGACAGUUGAUAGAUGAGGGAAUUGAAGUUCAGUGUGACUGUCAAUGUCAAAGGUGAAAGCCUAGUAAGUUGCAGAGCUCAGAUGUGACUUCAGUUCUGUUUUAUUCUAAAUCCAGUGUUCCUCCAAGUACUCUUAGAUCGUCCUAGGAAAAUUAUUUUGAAUUCGAGGAAGAACAUUUCAAAACGUUCUAUUGUUUCCAUGGCUUAUUGUCAUUCCUACUCUCAGGUAAUUUUUUGGGGUCAGUUUUAAGACCCUUUUGGAAGAACUGUGAGCUCUUUUCAUCUUACUCGGUUUUCAGGGAUACGGAUAUAUAUAUAUAUAUNNNNNNNNNNAUAUAUAUAGAGAGAGAGAGAGAGAGAGAGAGAGAUGAAAUCUAAUUUCCUAGAUAAGAAGAAUCUUACUCAGAGCAGUUGGGUGGUUUCUCACGGAGAGCUCAGCAAUUAGGCUCAAAUUAGAUCAUCAAAGCUGAGCUGAGGGAAACUGUAGUUGAUUUGAAAUAUCAAGGGUAGAGUAGGAACACUAAAAGUCAGAAAUAUCAUACAAUCACAUUUUUCCUGAUCCAAGCACAUCAGAAUUCAUUUAGUUAGCAGUGAACAGAGGCAGCCCACUGGGUUCCUUAAUUAUAACACCAGAGCACUCUAUAAAAACAUGAGAGGAAUGCCAUUUCUGGCAAUUUAUAAAUCAUGUGAUUUCACUUCCCCUCAGGGGUGGACAUUUUAAUGCAGACCAGGGUAGGGUUUUGCUGGACAUGCAAACUCCCUCCAUUUGCUUCAUCCUCAAACAUGACAAGCUUCAUAAUGCCUGG